UUGAACGCAAGGUGCGCCCGAGGCUUGACCAAGGGCAUCCCUGCNAGAGNGUCACCGCGACACCCACCAAUCCACUCCCAGCUNGAGUGGGAGUGGGACUGAGUGAAACUGGCCAUCCGGAUGGGGGCCACGCCCCGGGACUUCGUGUGCCUCGGGGGGU
rnacentral:rRNA from 1 species